rnacentral:rRNA from 1 species
CAGCCCGCUCCCGGUAAAACGGGACGGCCCGCCAGAGGACCCCUAAACUCUGUUUCUAUAUGUAACUUCUGAGUAAAACCAUAAAUAAAUCAAAACUUUCAACAACGGAUCUCUUGGUUCUGGCAUCGAUGAAGAACGCAGCAAAAUGCGAUAAGUAAUGUGAAUUGCAGAAUUCAGUGAAUCAUCGAAUCUUUGAACGCACAUUGCGCCCGCCAGUAUUCUGGCGGGCAUGCCUGUUCGAGCGUCAUUUCAACCCUCAAGCACAGCUUGGUGUUGGGACUCGCGUUAAUUCGCGUUCCUCAAAUUGAUUGGCGGUCACGUCGAGCUUCCAUAGCGUAGUAGUAAAACCCUCGUUACUGGUAAUCGUCGCGGCCACGCCGUUAAACCCCAACUUCUGAAUGUUGACCUCGGAUCAGGUAGGAAUACCCGCUGAACUUAAGCAUA